rnacentral:misc_RNA from 1 species
GAUGAAGAACGUAGCGAAAUGCGAUACGUAAUGUGAAUUGCAAAUUCAGUGAAUCAUCGAGUCUUUGAACGCACAUUGCGCCCCCUGCUAUUCCGGGGGGCAUGCCUGUCCGAGCGUCAUUGCUGCCCUCAAGCACGGCUUGUGUGUUGGGCCCCGUCCUCCGAUCCCGGGGGACGGGCCCGAAAGGCAGCGGCGGCACCGCGUCCGGUCCUCGAGCGUAUGGGGCUUUGUCACCCGCUCUGUAGGCCCGGCCGGCGCUUGCCGAUCAACCCAAAUUUUUAUCCAGGUUGACCUCGGAUCAGGUAGGGAUACCCGCUGAACUUAAGCAUAUCAAUAAGCGGAGGA